GUUAUCAUAGCUCAGUUGGUAGAGCAUGAGAUUCUUAAUCUCAGGGUUGUGGGUUCGAGCUGGACUAGAUGACC